UAAUACGUAGGGUCCAAGCGUUAUCCGGAAUCACUGGGCGUAAAGCGUGCGCAGGUGGUCUGUUAAGUGAGAUGUUAAAUCGUGUGGCUCAACCAUAUCGAUGCAUCUCAUACUGGCAGACUAGAGGAAGGCAGAGGCAAGUGGAAUUGGUAGUGUAGCAGUGAAAUGCGUAGAUAUUACCAGGAACACCAAUGGCGAAGGCAGCUUGCUGGGCCUUAUCUGACACUCAGGCACGAAAGCGUGGGGAGCGAACAGGAUUAGAUACCCUGGUAGUCCACGCCGUAAACGAUGCAUACUAGCCGUAUGGGGUAUCGACCCCCUGUGCGGCGAAGCUAACGCGUUAAGUAUGCCGCCUGGGAAGUACGGCCGCAAGGCUA
rnacentral:rRNA from 1 species